rnacentral:rRNA from 1 species
GGAUCCAGACUUUGAUUAUGGCUCAGGAUGAACGCUAGCUACAGGCUUAACACAUGCAAGUCGAGGGGAAACGAUAUAGAAAGCUUGCUUUUUCUAGGCGUCGACCGGCGCACGGGUGAGUAACGCGUAUCCAACCUGCCCAUCACUUGGGGAUAACCUUGCGAAAGUAAGACUAAUACCCAAUGACGUCUCUAGAAGACAUCUGAAGGAGAUUAAAGAUUUAUCGGUGAUGGAUGGGGAUGCGUCUGAUUAGCUUGUUGGCGGGGUAACGGCCCACCAAGGCGACGAUCAGUAGGGGUUCUGAGAGGAAGGUCCCCCACAUUGGAACUGAGACACGGUCCAAACUCCUACGGGAGGCAGCAGUGAGGAAUAUUGGUCAAUGGGCGGGAGCCUGAACCAGCCAAGUAGCGUGCAGGAAGACGGCCCUAUGGGUUGUAAACUGCUUUUAUAAGGGAAUAAAGUGAGUCUCGUGAGACUUUUUGCAUGUACCUUAUGAAUAAGGACCGGCUAAUUCCGUGCCAGCAGCCGCGGUAAUACGGAAGGUCCGGGCGUUAUCCGGAUUUAUUGGGUUUAAAGGGAGCGUAGGCCGGAGAUUAAGCGUGUUGUGAAAUGUAGACGCUCAACGUCUGCACUGCAGCGCGAACUGGUUUCCUUGAGUACGCACAAAGUGGGCGGAAUUCGUGGUGUAGCGGUGAAAUGCUUAGAUAUCACGAAGAACUCCGAUUGCGAAGGCAGCUCACUGGAGCGCAACUGACGCUGAAGCUCGAAAGUGCGGGUAUCGAACAGGAUUAGAUACCCUGGUAGUCCGCACGGUAAACGAUGGAUGCCCGCUGUUGGUCUGAAUAGGUCAGCGGCCAAGCGAAAGCAUUAAGCAUCCCACCUGGGGAGUACGCCGGCAACGGUGCAACUCAAAUGAAUUGACGG